rnacentral:lncRNA from 1 species
CUCCGGCCUCGGGGGAGCCGUCGGCGGCCCGGCGCGGGGGGAGGGGGGCUCCCGGGAGGGGAAGUUCCCUGAAUCCCCGCCUCGCCCCCGCCCUGGCGUCCCCCACCCCCUUGCCGCGACCACCGUCCCCACCGCGAUCCCCUCCUCCGCACCCGCCCCAGCGCCGCGCACUUUGUCCCCACUUUGCGUUUGCACAGCCUGAGGCCCUCAGCCCGGCGGGUGCGGGGAACCUCGGGAACCACCGGCGCGCCCAGGGUCACACCGUAACUCCGCUCUGGGGAGAUGCGUACGCAUCAUACUUCGAGGGGCGCGUACAGUGCAUUUUAAUACCUCCAGAGACUAGAGAUUAGGUGCUCCCUCUCGGCCACAUUGGUCACUGGGCUCGCCGGUGACCUCGGGCUCACGUUGCUUUGGCGCACAGCCUCAGUUUCCCGGUCUGCUAACCCGGGGACAGGCUUUUCCCCUCCGGGCCGGUGCAAAUGUAAAGCAGAGCUCCCGGCCGCUCCGGCGCGGGCUUAGCGCGCCGCACCCCACCCACUCCCAUCCCUCCCGGGGCGCCUCAGGGCUGCGCUGGGCAGAGAGGCGGGCAGUGGACGCCGGGACGCACAGCGGGUGCUCCCUCCUCCGCCCCCAGGGUUUUGCCUCACUUCUUGCCGGAUAAGAGGAGGCCAUGGGAAAGCACCAAGCAAGAGGAGCCUCCUCAGUCACCCCAGGACCCAGUCAUCACCCACCCACCAAGAGGUCUGGCUGCGUCUCCCAGCAGCCCUACUGGGGGAGACAUUUCUCUCCUUUUUUAUUUUUCUAAAGAUUUUAUUGAUUUAUUCAUGAGAGACACAGAGAGAGGAUGGGGGAGGGGGCAGAGAGAGAAGCAGGCUCCAUGCAGCGAGCCCGACGUGGGACUCAAUUCUGGAUCUCCAGGAUCACACCCUGGGCUGAAGGCGGCACUAAACCACUGAGCCACCCAGGCUGCCCAUCUCUCCUUUAUUAGAUGAGGUACCCAGGGUACACUGGGCACCCCAUAUUUCAUGCACACGAUUACACCGUGGGGCUGGGCACCCUGAGUCUGGACAUCUUGGACAUCUGGGUGAAUGCACUUGAAGCUCAGCUUCUGGGUGCAGCAGCCUCCUGGGCAGGCAGAAGCAGCCCCUCCUCCCAUACCUGAGGAAUCUAACCUUUCCUGCUGAAGAUUCCUAACACCCUUGCCUGAAGCGACCCUCAUGCAGGCUCCCCCCAGCACCACCCUGGAAUGAAGGUCAGAUUUCAGCAUGCCCCAGGUGCUCAGAAGUCAAGGUUGACCCUGGAGAAAAUAGCUUAUCCUCCAAAUGAAAAACAAAUGUUGCUAAUUUCUAUCAAUAAAAAACGAACCCAGGGGCUCUGGGUGGAGAAG